rnacentral:lncRNA from 1 species
UAAGAGAAUCCAAUGAUUCCCCUCUUCUCAAAAUGGCCACCUGCCCCAUAACAGGCCCGUUAUUAUUCCUGGAUUUUAAUGCAUCGGCGCUUGAUGAUCUCUUGGAUACGGAAGAUCUCUUGGAUAUGGAAUUCUCAUGUUGGUAGUUAAAUUUCUUCUUUUGAUUCUGAUCCGACCUUUCAGAUCGAUAAACCGGCUUCCAGUAACCAGCGUCGCCAUGUUUCGUGUUUUUCCGGCGUUGAAACGCUGCCGGAGACACCCGGAACCUAUCUCCUAAACAAUCUUGUGGUCUCAAAACCUCUGUGCCCAUUUUUCACCUUAGAAAUCCAGAAAAAUUUCACCUAAAAUAAAUUAUCUUUACGGCUUGACGUAUUGUCACAACAUGAACAAAAAUCAGCUAAAAAAAGGAGAAAUUAAACAGGAGCAAUCCCAGGUUAAAAAACUUCAAAUUGAAAAAGGGGAUUGAUCUAUACAACAAUUUCUUCUAAACUCCUCCAAGAUUUUGGCUCAGAACUCUCGUUCUGAUAAAUAUAUGGCUUCUGUAAUAUUU